UAAUACGGAGGGGGCCAGCGUUGUUCGGAUUUACUGGGCGUAAAGGGAGUGUAGGCGGUCGGUCAAGUCCGGUGUGAAAGCUUUACCGCUCACCGGAAAGAUGUCAUCGGAAACUGGUCGACUUGAGUAGGGUAGAGGCAAGCGGAAUUCCUGGUGGAGCGGUGGAAUGUGUAGAUAUCAGGAAGAACAUCGGUGGCGAAGGCGGCUUGCUGGGCUCUUACUGACGCUGAGACUCGAAAGCGUGGGGAGCAAACGGGAUUAGAUACCCCGGUAGUCCACGCUGUAAACGGUGCGCACUAGGUGUGGAGGGUAUCGACCCCUUCCGUGCCGCAGCUAACGCGAUAAGUGCGCCGCCUGGGGAGUACGACCGCAAGGUUA
rnacentral:rRNA from 1 species